AGCGAACGCUGGCGGCAGGCUUAACACAUGCAAGUCGAGCGGGCAUAGCAAUAUGUCAGCGGCAGACGGGUGAGUAACGCGUGGGAACGUACCUUUUGGUUCGGAACAACACAGGGAAACUUGUGCUAAUACCGGAUAAGCCCUUACGGGGAAAGAUUUAUCGCCGAAAGAUCGGCCCGCGUCUGAUUAGCUAGUUGGUGAGGUAAUGGCUCACCAAGGCGACGAUCAGUAGCUGGUCUGAGAGGAUGAUCAGCCACAUUGGGACUGAGACACGGCCCAAACUCCUACGGGAGGCAGCAGUGGGGAAUAUUGGACAAUGGGCGCAAGCCUGAUCCAGCCAUGCCGCGUGAGUGACGAAGGCCCUAGGGUUGUAAAGCUCUUUUGUGCGGGAAGAUAAUGACGGUACCGCAAGAAUAAGCCCCGGCUAACUUCGUGCCAGCCGCCGCAGUAA
rnacentral:rRNA from 1 species